rnacentral:rRNA from 1 species
UACGUAGGGUGCAAGCGUUAAUCGGAAUUACUGGGCGUAAAGCGUGCGCAGGCGGUUAUGUAAGACAGGGGUGAAGUCCCCGGGCUUAACCUGGGAACUGCAUUUGUGACUGCAUAGCUAGAGUACGGUAGAGGGGGAUGGAAUUCCGCGUGUAGCAGUGAAAUGCGUAGAUAUGCGGAGGAACACCGAUGGCGAAGGCAAUCCCCUGGACCUGUACUGACGCUCAUGCACGAAAGCGUGGGGAGCAAACAGG